rnacentral:rRNA from 1 species
AACGAACGCUGGCGGCAUGCCUAACACAUGCAAGUCGAGCGCCCGUAGCAAUACGGGAGCGGCGCACGGGUGAGUAGCGCGUGGGAACCUGCCCAGAGGUUCGGGACAACCGCGGGAAACUGCGGCUGAUACCGGAUGAUGCCUGAGGGCCAAAGAUUUAUCGCCUUUGGAGGGGCCCGCGUCGGAUUAGGUAGUUGGUGAGGUAACGGCUCACCAAGCCUGUGAUCCGUAGCUGGUCUGAGAGGAUGAUCAGCCACACUGGGACUGAGACACGGCCCAGACUCCUACGGGAGGCAGCAGUGGGGAGUAUUGGACAAUGGGGGCAACCCUGAUCCAGCAAUGCCGCGU